rnacentral:rRNA from 1 species
UACGUAGGGUACAAGCGUUGUCCGGAUUUAUUGGGCGUAAAGAGCUCGUAGGCGGUCUGUCGCGUCGGAUGUGAAAACCCAGGGCUCAACUCUGGGCCUGCAUUCGGUACGGGCAGACUAGAGUAUGGCAGGGGAGACUGGAAUUCCUGGUGUAGCGGUGAAAUGCGCAGAUAUCAGGAGGAACACCGAUGGCGAAGGCAGAUCUCUGGGCCGUAACUGACGCUGAGGAGCGAAAGCGUGGGGAGCGAACAGG